CAGCCGCCACGGUAAAACGUAGGUGGCAAGCGUUGUCCGGAAUUAUUGGGCGUAAAGGGCUCGCAGGCGGUUUCUUAAGUCUGAUGUGAAAGCCCCCGGCUCAACCGGGGAGGGUCAUUGGAAACUGGGAAACUUGAGUGCAGAAGAGGAGAGUGGAAUUCCACGUGUAGCGGUGAAAUGCGUAGAGAUGUGGAGGAACACCAGUGGCGAAGGCGACUCUCUGGUCUGUAACUGACGCAGAGGAGCGAAAGCGUGGGGAGCGAACAGGAUUAGAUACCCGAGUAGUCCCUGUCUCUUAUAC
rnacentral:rRNA from 1 species